rnacentral:rRNA from 1 species
GAAUGAUCAAGUGUCUUAAGGGCAUUUGGUGGAUGCCUUGGCAUGCACAGGCGAUGAAGGACGUGAUACGCUGCGAUAAGCGUCGGGGAGGUGCGAAUACCCUUUGAUCCGACGAUUUCCGAAUGGGGAAACCCACCUUAGAUAUCUAGAAAAUUUGAACUGUUGGACCUUGUGCGAAGCGCAAGCUUGUUUCUUCUUCCUCAUUGGUUUGAGGGGAUGGAACGAAGCGAAGCUUCGCAAGCGCGACUGCGCGCCGGCCACUUUUGGCCGCCUCGCGGAGCACAGCCCGGAACGGGCGUACGUGCGUGAGCGCUUACAACUAGCGAGAACACUUCAACUUUCUAGAUAUCAAUAUAAGGUAUCUAACUUUCGAAUACAUAGGGGUUAGAAGCGAACCCGGGGAACUGAAACAUCUAAGUACCCGGAGGAAAGGACAUCAAACGAGACUCCGCAAGUAGUGGCGAGCGAACGCGGACCAGGCCAGUGGCUUUUGUGAGACAAGUGGAACACCUUGGAAAGGGUGACCGAAGUGGGUGAUAGUCCCGUACACGUAAUGCGAACAAAAGUCCUUGAGUAGGGCGGGACACGUGAAAUCCUGUCUGAACAUGGGGAGACCACUCUCCAAGCCUAAGUACUCGUGCAUGACCGAUAGCGAACCAGUACCGUGAGGGAAAGGUGAAAAGCACCCCGACAAGGGGAGUGAAAGAGAUCCUGAAACCGAAUGCCUACAAACAGUUGGAGCCCAAGAUUUGUUCUGGGUGACAGCGUACCUUUUGUAUAAUGGGUCAGCGACUUAGUCUGACGAGCAAGCUUAAACCGGUAGGUGUAGGCGUAGCGAAAGCGAGUCUGAACAGGGCGUUCAGUUCGUUGGAUUAGACCCGAAACCAAGUGAUCUAGCCAUGAGCAGGUUGAAGGUAAGGUAACACUUACUGGAGGACCGAACCCGCAUCUGUUGCAAUAGAUUGGGAUGACUUGUGGCUAGGGGUGAAAGGCCAAUCAAACUUGGAGAUAGCUGGUUCUCCGCGAAAUCUAUUUAGGUAGAGCGUCGAUCGAAUACCUUCGGGGGUAGAGCACUGGAUGGGCUAGGGGAUCUCACCGAUUUACCAAACCUAACCAAACUCCGAAUACCGAAGAGUACUAAUCGGCAGACACACGGCGGGUGCUAACGUCCGUCGUGAAGAGGGCAACAACCCUGACCACCAUCUAAGGUCCCUAAGUUAUGGCUAAGUGGGAAAGGAUGUGAGGAUCCCAAAACAACCAGGAUGUUGGCUUAGAAGCAGCCAUCAUUUAAAGAAAGCGUAACAGCUCACUGGUCUAAAUAAGGGUCUUUGCGCCGAAAAUGUACCGGGGCUAAAGCCAUACACCGAAGCUGUGGAUUCUUGGAAACCUUCGGGUUCCCGGGAGUGGUAGCGGAGCGUUCUGUAAGCCGUUGAAGAGAGACCCGUGAGGGCUCUUGGAGGUAUCAGAAGUGAGAAUGCUGACAUGAGUAACGAUAAAGGGAGUGAGAGACUCCCUCGCCGAAAGUCCAAGGGUUCCUGCUUAAAGUUAAUCUGAGCAGGGUUAGCCGGCCCCUAAGGCGAGGCCGAAAGGCGUAGUCGAUGGGAACCACGUUAAUAUUCGUGGGCCUGCGGGUAGUGACGGAUCGCGUAUGUUGUUCUUCCUUAUUGGAUUGGAAGGGCUUCGAAGCGGUUCCAGGAAAUAGCUCCCGCGUAUAGACCGUACCCUAAACCGACACUGGUGGACUGGUAGAGAAUACCAAGGCGCUUGAGAGAACUGCGUUGAAGGAACUCGGCAAAUUGCACGCGUAACUUCGGAAGAAGCGUGACCCUUAUGUACGCAAGUAUGUGAGGGUGGCACAGACCAGGGGGUAGCGACUGUUUACCAAAAACACAGGGCUCUGCGAAGUCGCAAGACGACGUAUAGGGUCUGACGCCUGCCCGGUGCUGGAAGGUUAAGAGGAGAGGUGCAAGCUUUGAAUCGAAGCCCCAGUAAACGGCGGCCGUAACUAUAACGGUCCUAAGGUAGCGAAAUUCCUUGUCGGGUAAGUUCCGACCUGCACGAAUGGCGUAACGACUUCCCCGCUGUCUCCAACGCAGACUCAGUGAAAUUGAAUUCCCCGUGAAGAUGCGGGGUUCCUGCGGUUAGACGGAAAGACCCCGUGCACCUUUACUAUAGCUUUACACUGGCAUUCGUGUCGGCAUGUGUAGGAUAGGUGGUAGACUUUGAAGCCGUGGCGCCAGCCAUGGUGGAGUCAUCCUUGAAAUACCACCCUUACCUAUAUGGAUGUCUAACCGCGGUCCGUUAUCCGGAUCCGGGACAGUGUAUGGUGGGUAGUUUGACUGGGGCGGUCGCCUCCUAAAGAGUAACGGAGGCGCGCGAUGGUGGGCUCAGACCGGUCGGAAAUCGGUCGUCGAGUGCAAUGGCAUAAGCCCGCCUGACUGCGAGACUGACAAGUCGAGCAGAGACGAAAGUCGGUCAUAGUGAUCCGGUGGUCCCGCGUGGAAGGGCCAUCGCUCAACGGAUAAAAGGUACGCCGGGGAUAACAGGCUGAUGACCCCCAAGAGUCCAUAUCGACGGGGUUGUUUGGCACCUCGAUGUCGACUCAUCGCAUCCUGGGGCUGGAGCAGGUCCCAAGGGUAUGGCUGUUCGCCAUUUAAAGCGGUACGUGAGUUGGGUUCAGAACGUCGUGAGACAGUUCGGUCCCUAUCUGCCGUGGGUGUAGGAAUAUUGACAGGAUCUGUCCCUAGUACGAGAGGACCGGGAUGGACGUAUCUCUGGUGGACCUGUUGUGGCGCCAGCCGCAUAGCAGGGUAGCUAUAUACGGACGGGAUAACCGCUGAAGGCAUCUAAGCGGGAAACCCACCUGAAAACGAGUAUUCCCUAUCAGAGCCGUGGAAGACCACCACGUUGAUAGGCCGGGUGUGGAAGUGCGGCAACGCAUGAAGCUUACCGGUACUAAUAGCUCGAUUGGCUUGAUCAUUCUCAUU